rnacentral:rRNA from 1 species
UACAGAGGGGGCAAGCGUUGUUCGGAAUUACUGGGCGUAAAGGGCGCGUAGGCGGCCUUCUAAGUCGAACGUGAAAUCCCCGGGCUCAACCCGGGAACUGCGUCCGAUACUGGAAGGCUUGAAUCCGGGAGAGGGAUGUGGAAUUCCAGGUGUAGCGGUGAAAUGCGUAGAUAUCGGAAGGAACACCCGUGGCGAAAGCGGCUCUCUGGAACGGUACUGACGCUGAGACGCGAAAGCGUGGGGAGCGAACAGG